rnacentral:sRNA from 1 species
ACAGAUCCGGGUCGCGGGGGCUCCUGGGGGUUCCUUCCACAGCUGGUGCGCGUGCGCAAGAGUGAGUCUAGGUUGUUCCGUGGCAAUUUAUGAAACUCGGAGCCGGCAGUGAGUUGAGGGUUCGGCGAAGUCAGGGGUUCCUAGUUGCAGCGUGAUUACCAACGCCGGCUCCCUUCACUGUCCAAGACAGCGAUUCCGCGGCUCCUCUCAGAACUGGAUGUUCAUCACUUACCAUUUAAGCUACUUGCAGUCACGUCACACCUUGGAUCUCUAUCAUCAAAACUAUUCCACCUCGGAAAUCUUACUUAAAUGCAGCAUGCCAUCCUGAACGUCUCUCCCUGUCCUAGCUCUGUAACUGUUUACAUUGCUCAGGUACCUGAAUAUUGGCUUUGUGUCUAAAGUUCCUGGAACUUUCCUCCUUACCAUGAAAUAACUUGGCUUAAAUCACACUGCAUAUAGUACGCAGGUGCUUAGCUCAAGCCUGAGAAUUACUGCAAUCUAGUAAGGCGGACUUGAACUACUGUGGGAGUUCUAUUUAGGAAGAUGCAGCCUCUGAGCAAGUUGAUGGCUAUCUCGAAACCUCAAAACCUGUCUCUACAUGAACAAAGAGAGGUUCUGAGAGCAGAUAUGUGUUGGCAGCAGGAAACCAUCCCUGUCGUGGAGACACAUGACUCUGAGGCAUCUCGUCAAAAGUUCAGACAUUUCCAGUAUUUGAAAGUGUCUGGGCCCCAUGAAGCCCUGAGCCAACUCCGGGAGCUCUGUCUUCAAUGGCUGAGACCAGAGAUUCAUACAAAGAAGCAGAUUAUAGAACUGUUGGUGCUGGAACAAUUCCUGGCAAUCCUGCCUGAAGAAGUCAGGACUUGGGUGCAUUUACAACAUCCAAACAACAGUGAAGAUAUGGUGACCCUCAUAGAAGAUGUGAUUGAAAUGCUUGAAGAUGAAGGUAUGCCCUGCAAGGACUCUGCCCCGCAGAUGGGGAGCAUCAAGGAGAAAAUGAAAGCUGGCUCACCAACAGGCAAACCACAGACAUGAAGAGUAUUUCUGGAGAAGAAUCAUCUCAUGGAGUGAUUAUGACAAGGCUUACCGAAAGUGGACACCCUUCUUCAGAUGUCUGGAAAGGUGAGAAUUGGUUAUAUAGGAACCAGAAAAAAUGGGACAUAAAUUUGCCACAAGAGGCUUUCAUUCCUGAGACAAUUUACACUGACGAGGAAGAUUUUGAAUGUAGUGAAAAUAAGGAAACCUUUGAUAUUAAUUCAGUUAGCUCAAUUUGUGCUAUACAACAGGGAAUUCCUUCAAGAAAGGGGUCUCCAAAAUGUGAUAAGUUUAAAACUCAAUUCAAAUUUAAUUUAGACUCAGUCGGUAAGCAACAUUCAGAAUAUGAAUAUGUGAAUGACUUGAGUUUGAGAACAGAUAUUCGACACCAAAAAAGUCAUACUACAAUGAAUUC